AGGCUUUGAGCUGGGCGAGUGAGACGGGGCCCUUUGUUUGAAACUGAUUCAUGCAGCUGUCAGACCUGCAGGAGCCCGAGUGUGAUCGCCUCUGCCCCGAGGAACUUUGAAUCCAGUAGGGGAUGUGAGCAAAAGCGCGCGAGGAGGAGUUCCUGCUGCACUUGUCCGCUACCUAGCGGACUGGCAGGGCAGCUAAGCAGCUGGUGCUAAGAAGCUAGAGAGGAUUCCAAACUGGUGCGUGCCGGCCCCGGUGUUCUCCUGGUAGACAAGCUCCCAGAAACGGCUGCUGCAGUGUCUGUGACCCCAGUGUGAGUUCUGGUUGCCGCCUGCCUUUCUGGAAGGCUCUCCAAGAUCAGCAGGUGGGUCUGACUCGGGCUGCUUUCAAAUUACUGCUGCCUCCCUGGGUCCCGGAGUGUGAGGUUCUGUGUGCGUCCUUUACAGUCGGCAUCCACGUCCCACAGCCCCCUGGCUCUCCUGAAAGCCAGCCGUGCUGGCCUUCAAAGCCAAACAUCCUGGGGCUUGCCGUCCUGGUGCAGGACUCCCAGGGUGGGAAGCCUGACGCAGGGCCCGGACCCCUCACUUCUUGGGGAGAACCUCGGCAACGAUAAGCAUCCUUCCUUUUGUGGGCUGCCCGCCCCGGGGUGUGG